AUACGUAGGUGACAAGCGUUAUCCGGAUUUACUGGGCGUAAAGGGCGUGUAGGCGGUCUUGCAAGUCAGAAGUGAAAUUCCUGAGCUCAACUCGGGCGCUGCUUCUGAAACUGCAGGACUUGAGUGCUGGAGGGGAUAGCGGAAUUCCUAGUGGAGCGGUAAAAUGCGCAGAUAUUAGGAAGAACACCGGUGGCGAAGGCGGCUAUCUGGACAGUAACUGACGCUGAGGCGCGAAAGCGUGGGGAGCAAACAGGAUUAGAUACCCUGGUAGUCCACACUGUAAACGAUGAAUGCUAGGUGUAAGAGGUAUCGACCCCUUUUGUGCCGGAGUCAACACAAUAAGCAUUUCGCCUGGGGAGUACGGCCGCAAGGUUGAAACUUAAAGGAAUUGACGGGG
rnacentral:rRNA from 1 species